rnacentral:rRNA from 1 species
AUUGAACGCUGGCGGCAUGCCUUACACAUGCAAGUCGAACGGUAACGCGGGGCAACCUGGCGACGAGUGGCGAACGGGUGAGUAAUGUAUCGGAACGUGCCCAGUUGUGGGGGAUAACUGCUCGAAAGAGCAGCUAAUACCGCAUACGACCUGAGGGUGAAAGCGGGGGAUCGCAAGACCUCGCGCAAUUGGAGCGGCCGAUAUCAGAUUAGGUAGUUGGUGGGGUAAAGGCUCACCAAGCCAACGAUCUGUAGCUGGUCUGAGAGGACGACCAGCCACACUGGGACUGAGACACGGCCCAGACUCCUACGGGAGGCAGCAGUGGGGAAUUUUGGACAAUGGACGCAAGUCUGAUCCAGCCAUGCCGCGUGCGGGAAGAAGGCCUUCGGGUUGUAAACCGCUUUUGCCAGGGAAGAAACGCUCUGGGUUAAUACCUCGGGGUAAUGACGGCACCUGAAGAAUAAGCACCGGCUAACUACGUGCCAGCAGCCGCCGUAACAC